CCUACGGGGGGCAGCAGUGGGGAAUAUUGCACAAUGGGGGAAACCCUGAUGCAGCGACGCCGCGUGAGUGAAGAAGUAUUUCGGUACGUAAAGCUCUAUCAGCAGGGAAGAAAAUGACGGUACCUGACUAAGAAGCCCCGGCUAACUACGUGCCAGCAGCCGCGGUAAUACGUAGGGGGCAAGCGUUAUCCGGAUUUACUGGGUGUAAAGGGAGCGUAGACGGCAGCGCAAGUCUGGAGUGAAAUCCCAUGGCUUAACCAUGGAACUGCUUUGGAAACUGUGCAGCUAGAGUGCAGGAGAGGUAAGCGGAAUUCCUAGUGUAGCGGUGAAAUGCGUAGAUAUUAGGAGGAACACCAGUGGCGAAGGCGGCUUACUGGACUGCAACUGACGUUGAGGCUCGAAAGCGUGGGGAGCAAACAGGAUUAGAUACCCCUGUAGUC
rnacentral:rRNA from 1 species